AAAAUGUAUAUACAUGUAAGCAUGCAUAUACAGAUAUGCAUGUAUGUAUUAAUAUAUAUUGUUUAAAAUCAGGGUCUUUUCUUUUUCCCAGUAUUGAUUCCCCAGUAUUGAUCAGGGUCUUUUCUUUUCUCCAGUAUGAAAAUGAAAUACAGUGCUGAGAAUAAACUGGAGAUCUCUGCCAGAGUUAUAAAAUGCAAGAAAGACCCUUAGUGGGAGAUGUAUGAGGGUGGAUCCCAGGAGCAGGGCCGGGAAAUAAUAGACACUGAGGUUUGUUUCUCUCUGCAAAACAGGACUUCAGUGAUACAGCGAUAUAAUACUCUAAGAUAUUUUAUUUUCAAAACAAGACAUAACCCAACUCCAGCUCCCUAAGGAGAGCCCUACUUCCCAGCGCUGGGUCUGCAUCAGGAGCCCUGGCAUUUCCUCUUUAGCAGGGAGUGCAGCCAGCAAAACAAUCAAGCUGUGAUUGGGAGCUGAGCGCAGUGGUUAAUUAAGGCUGCAUCUUUUAUUCUCCAGGGCAAUUCAGCACAGCUUGAAUGAGCCCCAGAGCCAGUCUGCGGUGGGAAUGUCUCCCCGGGCAGUGGGAGAAUCCAGUCUCAGGGGCUGUCUCAUCAGCAUGACAAUAGCCCCAGGAUGCACUUGGACUGAUGUAAUGGCCAGAGUUAGGGAGGGGGGAUGAAAGCCUUGUUGCAGAAGCCUGGAGCGUUUGCAGCUGACUGGGGCUAUUUCAGUGCAUGAAAUUCCUUCCCUCUUUCUUCCUUUUAUAAGAGAUGUUUGCUAAUUGGUAGAGCUCAGAAAACAAUAUACCAUUAAGAAUCCCUUUCCUUCCUCCCACCCCCCACUCUCAUUUUUUAAAAGUCUCUGCUUUCUUGCUUCACUGGAAGUCUCAACUUUUGUUCUGUGGUUUGCAUGAAGUCUUAAUUUUUCAUUCUCUUUAAGAGGGAACUUAUAAACAACGAUUUACUAAAAGAGACUCUGCAACCGAUUCUUCUGUAUCAGGGGUUCCCAAAUACAGCCCCCCCCCCACCACCACCACCCCUACUUUGAGAAUCUUGGCUGUGGUCCUGCUACAACUCAUAUAUUUGCCUCGUUUGUUACACAUUGAUACAAAACAUUUUGGAAAAGUGACUCACGGAAAGUUAGUCUGAUUUUGUAUUUUGUAUUUUCUAUUUUUUUUAAUUACAAGAUCCUGUUUGAAUUAAUUGAAUCCUUUAAGCUGACAAGCUAAUGGUCAAAAUGAAGACAGUAUAAGGAAAUGUCAGUUGAGAAUCUGGGAUAAAUGUUGUUUGACCCUGCCACAAAUUCAGUAGGCGACCAGGGUAAGACUUUGUCCUCUCCUCUCCUGUUUGGGUCUCAGUUUGCUCAUCUGUCCAAAGAGAUAAGGGAGCUCAAUGAUUCCUAAAGUCCUUCUUGUGCUAUCACUUUAUAGCUCAUUGAGUGGAGCCAUACUUUCUUAAUUGAUAGAAGCUGUAAGCUCUGAUAUAACAGAAAAUGUGUUGUGUGUUCAUUCUCUAAAAGCACAAGAUGUCCAUAGUCCUUCUACAGUUUUGAAAAUUAAUGCUCUUAAUGAUUCUGGAAGAUUUUUUUUAGUGAAGUAGGCUGUUAUCUGGAACCACAAAAGAUAUGCACGGAUUCUGAUGCAUCUCAUCUCAGAAAUCACCUGAGCAAUGCACAGCUGAUUAAUAGAAAUAAGAACAUUACUUUAGGAGAAUGUUCUUCACGUUCCCAAGCAUGAAGAACUCCUUUUCCUACUCUACCUUAUUCCUUCUCUUCUUUCCACUUGGACAGAACCACUGGAGAGACUUUAGAGGAUCUUUUAAGGGUUUCACACGAGCAGGUGGAAGAGGCUCUGGACACAUCUCUGCUCACAUUCUAACAAGUCACUUUCCACUCAUAGUCUUUCCUUUGUAUACUUUGCUGUGAAUCCUGCCACAUUGGGAGCAUCCUUAGCUCAACCUUACUUCUAAAUUCCAUUAAAUACUUGUCACAGUACAAUAGGUGUUACUGCCACUAGUACCUCACCCAGACACAGCAUUUCCUAAAAGCAAAUACUUUUGUAAGUGGUUUAGAAGUAAGAGUUUAUUCUCAAAAUCACAAUCAGCAUACACACCAGCUUCCUUCUUACCACUUCCGUCAGAUUAGGUGAGUUGAUCAUAAUUGAAAAUAUGAUACCAUCUUUCCCCCAGUAUCCAGGUCUUUCAUGAGGCUAACAAGAAUCUUUGUCUAAAAAUUGGAAGGUUGAAUAAAACAUGCGUUGGGGGAUUUGUGAAGACAGAGAGUGUCCAUAUUGUGGUUCUCUUCUUUGGGCUGUUGAAAUAAACACUUCGACAUCUCUCAAGGUGUUCCUGUAAAAUUUUUGAUAAUUGUCUGCAGAACUGACAAUUCAAUUCAUGAAGACGAAUUCUUCCUCUUGUUAUUUCCUCCAAACUCCCUCUGAGAUGCUAUAAACAUUGGCAGACAAUGCAUAUAAUUAAGGUGGAAUAUGUACUCAUAAAAUGUUUGUUUCCAUCUGCUAGUUGUUUUAGCGAAUGUUAGAUUUCUUGCGGUCAGUCGGAGAACAACAGAGGGGAUUCUGAAAUCCCCACUGAGAAGCAGCUCAUGAGCAUGGCACAGGGACAUGCCAGAACGUGCAGCCCUCAAUUAGUUCCAAUGAUGUGGAAAAGUUCUGUCUGGAGAAAUCAAACUGAACAUAAAAUCACUGAAGCGCCGGUGGUGGCGGCGGUAGGUGUUGAUACAGGCAUUAGUCAGCAAUACUGAUUGCAGUGAAGUCACUCAAUAGCCCUGUCGCUGGAACCUAG
rnacentral:lncRNA from 10 species